UCAGUUCUCAAGUCCUUAAACCAUGAGGGACCACAUCCAAGGAGCUCCCCAAGGGGGGCUCUCAUCUGCAUUCAUCCCCCCUGCUUCAGGACAGAUCAUGGAAGUUGGGCCUAAGCUGGUGAUUGGAUGAGAUCUGUGGGUCUUUGGAAGUGGUGAAUGUGUUUGCCCUGGGGAAGAGGAUGGGACCUUAACCACUGGAGGAACCAGGAAUUCAUCAGGUAUUCAUGCUGGUGGGUCCUCCAGGAUGAACGGCAUAAGGCUUUAGCCUCAUGCCUGACAAGGAGGAACUGCUCUGGCGUCAGUAACUAAGAUGCUGCAUAUUUUUGACAUCCGGUUGGCUUUGACAACAGGAUGAGACUGUACCAACUUUGACCUGGAUGCUUGGAGUCAAUGCAGCAUGAAUGGGCAUAAGGGAAUAAAGGUUUGCCUUGAGAACAUUGAGAAUUUUACUGCUGUGUUUGUUAUUUAAAUUACC
rnacentral:lncRNA from 1 species